GGAGGGUGCAAGCGUUAAUCGGAAUAACUGGGCGUAAAGCGCACGCAGGCGGUUUGUUAAGCUAGAUGUGAAAGCCCCGGGCUCAACCUGGGAACUGCAUUUAGAACUGGCGAACUAGAGUCUUGUAGAGGGGGGUAGAAUUCCAGGUGUAGCGGUGAAAUGCGUAGAGAUCUGGAGGAAUACCGGUGGCGAAGGCGGCCCCCUGGACAGAGACUGACGCUCAGGUGCGAAAGCGUGGGGAGCAAAC
rnacentral:rRNA from 1 species